CUGAGUGUUAACGCACGUUGAGCGGGUUGUAUUUUCGGAAAGCUAUACUGUCAAGAGAGAAAAUGUACGGGCAGGCUGAUGAUCGGUAUUUACUUAUUGCAACAUGAAUGCAGUUAGUGGAGGGGGACGUUGACAUUUUAAAGCUAUGGGAAUAAUUUAAAAAAACACACACACACACACACCCCACCAAAAACUUUAGGUUGGUUAAUGAAGUGUAGAGGGACUUAUCCACCAAGUUUAGAAAAACUGUGCAUUUGGAAUAAGUGGUUUGGGUGAAGUUCUUACUACUCUUCCUUCUUACAGAAUAUAAAAGGUUUGGACUCAGGCAAUCAUAUAAGGUUGUGGUGCCAUUUGUGUAAUAGGGCAAGCUAUUAAAGCUGUAAAUGGAAGCAGCUGUAAUGCUUCCCCAUAUGCUAAAGUUUCAGGAGCCUGAACUCCCUGUUUAGCCUUGGAAAGGAACCAAAUCUUGGGUAGUGAAGAUGAAAGGGUCUACUUGGUACUUUGACUUUCCUGUGCGAUAUUCCAGAAAGUAGGCGUCAUUGAGAAGAAGCAGUGCAUUUAGGUGGACGUUGCUGCAGAGAUCCUUCCACACCCAGAUUUUUCCAGAACUACUUGUGGCUCUGAUAACAAAGUUUCUUUGUUGAGAAGUUGCAUCACUGCAGGAUGAAAAAGCUGGAAAGAAAAGUUAUCCAGCAAACUCCUUCCACUUUGAUUUCUAGUCAAGUUAGUGGUAUUGCAACCUACAGCUGCAACAGUGAAUCAACCCAAUUCUAAAUUUAGACAACUUAUAUUUUUGGUAGAUAUAGAAUGGAAGAUAAUUACCACAAAAACAACAACAACCCUUAACUUUAAAAGGAUAAGCUAUUAGCAUGUUUUUAUGCAUGGGAGUGGGUAUUAAUUGAAAACAAAAAGCUUGAAAACUUACAUAAAAUAUUUUUUGUGUGUGUGUGGGAGGUUGUGAUCCUCCAGAGAUUGCUUUAGGAAAGUUACUGUUACUAACUUCAGUUGAUCACUUAACAAAAUAUCUUAUUGCUUAGUAAAGUACUGGAGGGUUUUAUUAUUGUUAUUAUUAUUUCUUUCUACAUUGUUUCCUCUGUAUAGUUAAUUGUAACUUGAAUAACACAAAAUGACGAGAUGUAUUCAUAUAUACACUUCCUUGUUGUCUCUUCCCCUCUCUAUUUUCCUUGAAAGCCUGUCUCCAAAUCAAUUUAGGUGACCACAGAAAUGUUAAGCAUGUUGUACUAAAUCUGAGCAAAAAAAAAAAAAAAAAAAAAAUCAAAAUAGAUAGGGUUUAAAAUACUUCUUUCCACUUUGCUCUUGUGUCUGAGUGUAAUCAAAAUAAUUUGGAUGUUUACAGAAGUCGUGGAAUUCAGAAAGCAGGUUUUUAGAUUAUAAAUUGCAUUGUAUCUUUAAUAAUUCCACCAUUGUUUGAGGGUUUUGUGGACCACACAGUUUUAAAUAGUAAUCAGGAGGAAUCUGAAUGUUAUCAUUUUUUAGAUUUUUUUUUUUUAAUAGCUUUCAUCACAGAUGUCUAACUCUUUUGACUUUCAAAGGGUGUUGAGCAUCUCACUCUCAUAAGAAAAUCUGGUCACUCAUAUAAACAAACAAGCAAAAAAACCCACCCCAACCCUGGAAGUUUAAAAUUAUGUUUAGAGUUUGGUACUGCUUUUUAGGCCAAAACUAUUGGUUUUUUGGUCUCUUUUGCCAAAAAACACAGAUUCAUAUUGUCUGACUGAAACAUUGCAUGAAUUUGUGUCAAAUUCACCAACUUGUUUCAGUU